UACGUAGGGUGCAAGCGUUAAUCGGAAUUACUGGGCGUAAAGCGUGCGCAGGCGGUUAUGCAAGACAGAUGUGAAAUCCCCGGGCUCAACCUGGGAACUGCAUUUGUGACUGCAUGGCUAGAGUACGGUAGAGGGGGAUGGAAUUCCGCGUGUAGCAGUGAAAUGCGUAGAUAUGCGGAGGGACACCGAUGGCGAAGGCAAUCCCCUGGACCUGUACCGACGCUCAUGCACGAAAGCGUGGGGAGCAAACAGG
rnacentral:rRNA from 1 species